rnacentral:rRNA from 1 species
UACGAAGGGGGCGAGCGUUGUUCGGAAUUACUGGGCGUAAAGGGCGCGUAGGCGGCCCCUUUUGUCGCGUGUGAAAGCCCCGGGCUCAACCUGGGAGGUGCGCGCGAAACGGGGGGGCUUGAGUUCGGGAGAGGAGAGUGGAAUUCCCAGUGUAGAGGUGAAAAUUCGGUAGAUAUUGGGAAGAACACCGGUGGCGAAGGCGGCUCUCUGGACCGAGACUGACGCUGAGGCGCGAAAGCGUGGG